GUAAACGGCGGCCGUAACUAUAACGGUCCUAAGGUAGCGAAAUUCCUUGUCGGGUAAGUUCCGACCCGCACGAAAGGCGUAACGACUUGGGCGCUGUCUCGGCAAGAGACCCGGUGAAAUCAUAAUACCUGUGAAGAUGCAGGUUACCCGCGACAAGACGGAAAGACCCCAUGGAGCUUUACUGUAGCCUGGUAUUGAAACUUUGUGCAUCAUGUACAGAAUAGGUGGGAAGCUGUGAAGCGAGGGCGCCAGCCUUCGUGGAGCUGUCGUUGGGAUACCACCCUUGAUGUACGGAGUUUCUAACUUGCCGCCCUUAUCGGGUGGAAGGACCAUGCCAGGUGGGCAGUUUGACUGGGGCGGUCGCCUCCUAAAGAGUAACGGAGGCGCCCAAAGGUUCCCUCAGAAUGGUCGGAAAUCAUUCGUAGAGUGUAAAGGCACAAGGGAGCUUGACUGCGAGACCUACAAGUCGAGCAGGGACGAAAGUCGGGCUUAGUGAUCCGGUGGUUCCGCAUGGAAGGGCCAUCGCUCAACGGAUAAAAGCUACCCUGGGGAUAACAGGCUUAUCUCCCCCAAGAGUCCACAUCGACGGGGAGGUUUGGCACCUCGAUGUCGGCUCAUCGCAUCCUGGGGCUGAAGUAGGUCCCAAGGGUUGGGCUGUUCGCCCAUUAAAGCGGUACGCGAGCUGGGUUCAGAACGUCGUGAGACAGUUCGGUCCCUAUCUGUCGCGGGCGUAGGAAGUUUGAGGAGAGCUGUCCUUAGUACGAGAGGACCGGGAUGGACGCACCCCUGGUGCACCAGUUGUCACGCCAGUGGCACAGCUGGGUAGCUAUGUGCGGACGGGAUAAGCGCUGAAAGCAUCUAAGCGUGAAGCCCCCUUCAAGAUGAGACUUCCCAUAGCGCAAGCUAGUAAGACCCCUCAUAGACGAUGAGGUUGAUAGGUUCGGUGUGGAAGUGCAGUAAUGCAUGGAGCUGACGAAUACUAAUCGGUCGAGGACUUAUCCAC
rnacentral:rRNA from 1 species